rnacentral:tRNA from 3 species
GGCGCUAUCAUCUAGUGGUUAGGAUUCCUGAUUUUCAAUCAGGCCACCGGAGUUCGACUCUCCGUAGCGCCG